rnacentral:rRNA from 1 species
GACGAACGCUGGCGGCGUGCUUAACACAUGCAAGUCGAACGGACAGGCCCUGCUUUUGUGGGUUGCUCGAGUGGCGAACGGGUGAGUAACACGUGAGUAACCUGCCCUUGACUUUGGGAUAACUUCAGGAAACUGGGGCUAAUACCGGAUAGGAUCUCCUGCUGCAUGGUGGGGGUUGGAAAGUUUCGGCGGUUGGGGAUGGACUCGCGGCUUAUCAGCUUGUUGGUGGGGUAGUGGAUUACAAAGGCUGUGACGGGUAGCCGGCCUGAGAGGGUGACCGGCCACAUUGGGACUGAGAUACGGCCCAGACUCCUACGGGAGGCAGCAGUGGGGAAUAUUGCACAAUGGGCGGAAGCCUGAUGCAGCAACGCCGCGUGCGGGAUGACGGCCUUCGGGUUGUAAACCGCUUUCGCCUGUGACGAAGCGUGAGUGACGGUAAUGGGUAAAGAAGCACCGGCUAACUACGUG